AGACACACUAAUCCUUUCCGACGCAUGCUGUGACCCACAACCAGUUCCAAAGCGGCUGGUGCAUAAAAAAAGUUUUAAAAUACCCAGUCAAUUGACUACAUGAAACUAUGGAGACCCCGUCUCUACCGCCACCUGGUUCCCUGGUACAGGAGUCUUUCUGUGCUGGUUUCUGCGUGCCUGGAAGAACACCAGACAGCAGCACCAGUGUGAAUUUCAGGGUAGGGAGCACCUUUGUUUGUGAAGGAAGCUGCUUCCUUGUGCUCCCUGACACGUUUGUCUCCACCCACACAUCACUGUCCACUCCUGCCACCAGGUCUCACUCUAUCCCAACAAUGCCUCCCUGGUCCCUGGAGAACCCACCUGGCAAACUAAAACGACAACCACCACCUUCUUCCUACAGGAAGACUCAGCAGUAGGAACUGCUCAAGAAUCAGCUUUGCGGCACGUGUGCAUCCCUGGGAAGUGGGUGGUCCCAUUCCCAUUUCAUCUCCACUGCAGAUCAUGUUUGGGGCUCAUGCCUGUCUCUUGAGUGUGAAAUACAAGUCAUGUUUAUUUGAUUUUUGUAAGCGGACUUUUUACACCUUGUUUUUGUAAUAAGUUUCUUAUUAAAAGAAUAAAAUACCUGUCUUUUAUGUGCAGGCUUUAUUUG
rnacentral:lncRNA from 1 species